rnacentral:rRNA from 1 species
AUUGAACGCUGGCGGCAGGCUUAACACAUGCAAGUCGAGCGAGCGGCGGACGGGUGAGUAAUGGCUGGGAAACUGCCUGAUGGAGGGGGAUAACUACUGGAAACGGUCGCUAAUACCGCAUACAAUCCGAUGUGCCAAGAUGGGAUUAACUAGUAGUGGGGGUAAUGGCUCACCUAGGCGACGCUCCCUAGCUGGGCUGAGAGGAUGACAAGCCACACUGGAACUGAGACACGGUCCAUACUCCUCCGGGAGGCAUCAGGGGGGACUAUGGCUCAAGGGGCGCAAGCCUUAUGCAGCCAUGCCGCGUGUGUGAAGAAGGCCUUCGGGUUGUAAAGCACUUUCAGCGAGGAGGCGUUACUCGCAGAAGAAGCACCGGCUAACUCCGUGCCAGCAGCCGCGGUAAUAC